AUUGAACGCUGGCGGCAGGCCUAACACAUGCAAGUCGAGCGGAUGAAGGGAGCUUGCUCCUGGAUUCAGCGGCGGACGCGUGAGUAAUGCCUAGGAAUCUGCCUGGUAGUGGGGGAUAACGUCCGGAAACGGGCGCUAAUACCGCAUACGUCCUGAGGGAGAAAGUGGGGGAUCUUCGGACCUCACGCUAUCAGAUGAGCCUAGGUCGGAUUAGCUAGUUGGUGGGGUAAAGGCCUACCAAGGCGACGAUCCGUAACUGGUCUGAGAGGAUGAUCAGUCACACUGGAACUGAGACACGGUCCAGACUCCUACGGGAGGCAGCAGUGGGGAAUAUUGGACAAUGGGCGAAAGCCUGAUCCAGCCAUGCCGCGUGUGUGAAGAAGGUCUUCGGAUUGUAAAGCACUUUAAGUUGGGAGGAAGGGCAGUAAGUUAAUACCUUGCUGUUUCGACGUUACCAACAGAAUAAGCACCGGCUAACUUCGUG
rnacentral:rRNA from 1 species